UUUUCUUGAACACCCUCCUCCCUUGGUUUGUCUUUCUCUAUCUUUCUUAUCUCUUUAUCUUCCUUUACUAUCUUCCUAAGCCCUUGUCCUAAUUCAAACUUGCCCUUACUAUAUAUGAACUUGUCCUAACAAGGGAAGGAAGAAAGAAAUUGGACAAACUAGAGAUGAAUGUAAGAAAGAAGAGAUAGGCUUCUGAAUACCAAA
rnacentral:lncRNA from 1 species